rnacentral:antisense_RNA from 1 species
UACACUUCCAGCGUUCGUUGGCACAGCGCUGAGCGGACGCAGUCCUCUUUUGUGAAGCGGACCACCCCUAUCAUCUCAUCUUCAUCAAAACGUGACAUGGCAUCGCUCAGGCCGGACUUCACGCCCGACGGCAGGUCACACUGGGUAAUAUCGCCGUUGACGAUAACCGUCACGUUCUCCCCGAGGCGCGU